rnacentral:rRNA from 1 species
CCCUUAGAUGUUCUGGGCCGCACGCGCGCUACACUGAUGCAUUCAACGAGCCUAGCCUUGACCGAGAGGUCCGGGUAAUCUUUGAAACUGCAUCGGGAUGGGGCUAGAUUAUUGCAAUUAUUAAUCUUCAACGAGGAAUGCCUAGUAAGCGUGAUUCAUCAAAUCGCGUUGAUUACGUCCCUGCCCUUUGUACACACCGCCCGUCGCUCCUACCGAUUGAGUGUGUUGGUGAGGAGUUCGGAUUGGCUCUUAGUGGUGGUUCGCCACCACCUAGAGCUGAGAAGUUCUCCAAACCGCCCCACUUAGAGGAAGGAGAAGUCGUAACA